GGGCUCGUAGUCUAGUGGUUAUGACGUCGCCUUCACGAGGCGGAGGUCGAGGGUUCAAAUCCCUCCGAGCCCA
rnacentral:tRNA from 1 species